rnacentral:sRNA from 1 species
CGAUAAGGGGAAACAAUACGUUUAUAUACUCGGGUCGUAAUCAAAGUGAAUGUACUUAGAACAGUAUAGGUGUUGUUGUUGUUUUUUUAUCUUUCUCUUAUCUUUCUGUUAAUUUUAAAAGCCCACUGCUUGAUAUGUCGAACUUUGAGGAUUUUAAUUUCCAUAACCUUGCGGUAGUAACACCUAUUGCAUAACAGCAUUUCAAACAUUUGUGUCCAUUAAGUGUUGGGCUAGAGCCAAUUUAAAAACCUUGACCAAAAGGAAGGAUUUCACACUGAGGCCUGGAUUAUGAUAAGCUCUUCACAAGUACUCUGUCAGGAAGUCCCUAUGAACUAGAGAUUUACAGUAAAGAUUUAAAAAAAAAAAAAAGUAUACACCUGAGCAUGGCAACUCGAGCAGAACUGUAUAAAAAUUGUGUCACGGAAGAGGAAGUCAGGCCUGUUAAUGUCACGUGGCAGGAGUCGUAUGCCAGGUGCGAAAAAGUCCAUAAAAUGUCCCACAACAAUUCAAGAGGAGUAACCACCAGCAAAGGGCAGUCACCAAGUACAAAAACUGGAAACGAACAAGGACAUUGACAAUAAUUGUGUUUGUAUAGAUCUAGCACUUCAUUUUUUUUUUAGGCUGUACAAAAAUUAGAAUAUCUUAAUUCUGCAAUAUUUUUUAAAAUAUAUUUUGUUCCAAAUAUAUAUAAAAUGAAAAACACACCAUAAAAAAACAAACAACCCUUACUUUCGCCAAAAUAAUGUCAACGUA